GAAAUGCGAUAAUUAAUGUGAAUUGCAGAAUUCAGUGAAUCAUCGAGUCUUUGAACGCACAUUGCGCCCCCUGGUAUUCCGGGGGGCAUGCCUGUCCGAGCGUCAUUGCUGCCCUCAAGCACGGCUUGUGUGUUGGGCUUCCGUCCCUGGCAACGGGGACGGGCCCAAAAGGCAGUGGCGGCACCAUGUCUGGUCCUCGAGCGUAUGGGGCUUUGUCACCCGCUCCCGUAGGUCCAGCUGGCAGCUAGCCUCGCAACCAAUCUUUUUAACCAGGUUGACCUCGGAUCAGGUAGAGAUACCCGCUGAACUUAAGC
rnacentral:misc_RNA from 1 species